AUGUUUCCCUAGUCUGCCUCCUACUCUUUAAGCCACUUUGGUCUGACUUCCUAACACUUUUAUAAAGUUUUAAGUGUGCCUUAAUGUGCUAAAGAAACCAUGAGAAAUAUUGGCAAACUUUUUUGACCCAGGUCUGGAGAAAGAUGGACAAACAUUGAAUAUCCUUUGCAGCUGCCUAUAUGCUAUGCUUGAAAAACCUGCAAACAUGAGGAAUACUUUGACAUUUAGACUUCUGAUAAUGAAUAAAAAAACAUAUGCACUUUAGCUACUAAAAAAAACUUUUAAACUCAAACCAUGAUACUGCUAGCUGCAAGCUAAAGGCUAGCUUUGGGCUUUAAGGUAGCAACAUAAAAUUGACAGAAACCUUUCCCCCAAACUGAGAGACUGGUUUCUAUUGUAAAUGUGUAACAUCAAUAUGUAGCACGUUUUGGAAUUGCUACAUUAAACAUGCAGUGGGUCUGAAGCUGUUAAAGUCAUAUUAACCAAGCAACUUCAUCAUCGUAACCCCACACAACUCCACCUGAAAUACAUCUGAUAAUACAAUCCAAAAAAAAAAAAUGUCUUCUGAAGAUUUCUAAGUGUCAACAGCCCUUUUAACAUAAAUAAAGUCAAUUUGUAGUGAGAGACAUUUGAUUUUUGUUUAAUAUAGAUCACACUGGUGCUGGCCAAAAAUGACACUUUCUUUCCACGCUUACUUCCAAAGCGGCAUUAUAAAACGUGAGGUACAACCAGUGAGUCCAUUGGAGAAUUUGAUGAUAAGUUGGGGGCAAAGGUCAUCUGACCUAGAGCAUCUACUGUAGCUUGUUGUGCCUGGAAUGGUGUGAUAACAAGAAUUGCACAGCAAGCUAAAAAUAAAAGUCACUUUGAGGUGGAGAGGAAUUGUUACUCUGGGGUCCUCUCGGUUUCAUUUGCAUUAUACUUGACUCCAUAGCCUUUUCCCUCCAGUAAAGUAGUCAAAAAGCUUAUCCUUUAGUCUCGGAUCAUAAAAAUUGACAACAAGCCGAUAAGUACGGAAGCUCUGAGAGGCAAGUGAAAAAAAACAACUGUUUUCACAAUUUAAAUAAAAAAAAAAACUUUUUCCCCCACCUUUUUUACAGAAGAAGAAAAAAAGAAAUCAAGGAAAUUAUAAAGAUUAUCCUGGCGAAACCUUUUUUUUCACCUGUUCUUAAGUCAUGAACAGGAGAGACAACAAUUUAGAUCAGACUUAGAAAACAGAUCACCAGAAAAAAAAAUUCUCACUUGCCACUCAGGGCUUCCAUAGAAUUUGACUUCUUUAAAAGCAUUUUGA